UAGGGUGGCAGAGCCAGGUAUAUUGCAAGAGGCCUAAGCCCUCUACCCCAGAAGUUCAAAUCUUCUCCCUAAAA
rnacentral:tRNA from 1 species